rnacentral:rRNA from 1 species
UACAGAGGUGGCAAGCGUUGUUCGGAAUUACUGGGCGUAAAGGGCGCGUAGGCGGUUCGUUAAGUCCUGUGUGAAAGCCCCCGGCUCAACUGGGGAGGGUCAUUCGAUACUGAUCGACUUGAAGGCAGGAGAGAGAAGUGGAAUUCCCGGUGUAGUGGUGAAAUGCGUAGAUAUCGGGAGGAACACCAGUGGCGAAGGCGACUUCUUGGCCUGUUCUUGACGCUGAGGCGCGAAAGCUGGGGGAGCAAACGGG